CCCUGCAUCAGAGCAUUAAAUAAACAAAAUAGUUACCUCUCAUUUUUUAUUAGUAAGACUCGUUUUCUUUUAUGGCAUGCAGUCGUCAGUCGAGUCCAUGCUUCGCUUCAGUGUUGACGUGUUUAUCACAGGAAGGGGAUAGUCUCCCGGAUAGAUGGACAGUCAUCUCGAACUUUAAGAUACGACACUAGCGGUGUGACUAGCCACUCAUUCUGCUUCAGGUGAUGAAUCAUCAUGAAAAGGUCUAAGGAUUCCCCUGGUGAUAUAAGGAAGUUCUUUUGUGUUCGUCCUAGCAUAGCUCAAAGCCAAAAAAAUGAGGAUGUGGAUACUGCAGGGGAUGAAAAAUCAGAAGGAAACCCAGAUAGGCCUAACCGUCAAUCUGACUCUAACCCCCAACUUACCCAAGCUCCUGAAACCAUCCCUAUAUCUGUACAACCCAGUACAAGUGAUAAUCCUGACAAUGCUGACAUACUAACACCUGUUAAAGAGCAGGUGCAGGAUCUAGCCACAAAGCCAGAAGAGGGACCCACACAGCCGAGACUUAAAGUGUAUCCUAAAUUACAGUCCGGUUCUCAGACCAGGUCUUUCCAAUAUGAGUGGUAUAAAAGGUAUGAGUGGCUGGAAUACUCUGUGACUAAUGACCGAGUUUAUUGUUUUCCAUGUAGACUUUUUGGCGGUAGUGUUGGUCACAAAGAAGUAACAUUCACCAACGAUGGCUUUAGAGUCUGGAAAAAGAUGCAUGAAAAAGCAUUAAAGCAUGGAGAAUCCACGUAUCAUAUAAAUGCAAUGCAAAAGU